GAUGAACGCUGGCGGCGUGCCUAAUACAUGCAAGUCGAGCGAACGGACGAGAAGCUUGCUUCUCUGAUGUUAGCGGCGGACGGGUGAGUAACACGUGGAUAACCUACCUAUAAGACUGGGAUAACUUCGGGAAACCGGAGCUAAUACCGGAUAAUAUUUUGAACCGCAUGGUUCAAAAGUGAAAGACGGUCUUGCUGUCACUUAUAGAUGGAUCCGCGCUGCAUUAGCUAGUUGGUAAGGUAACGGCUUACCAAGGCAACGAUGCAUAGCCGACCUGAGAGGGUGAUCGGCCACACUGGAACUGAGACACGGUCCAGACUCCUACGGGAGGCAGCAGUAGGGAAUCUUCCGCAAUGGGCGAAAGCCUGACGGAGCAACGCCGCGUGAGUGAUGAAGGUCUUCGGAUCGUAAAACUCUGUUAUUAGGGAAGAACAUAUGUGUAAGUAACUGUGCACAUCUUGACGGUACCUAAUCAGAAAGCCACGGCUAACUACGUGCCAGCAGCCGCGGUAAUACGUAGGUGGCAAGCGUUAUCCGGAAUUAUUGGGCGUAAAGCGCGCGUAGGCGGUUUUUUAAGUCUGAUGUGAAAGCCCACGGCUCAACCGUGGAGGGUCAUUGGAAACUGGAAAACUUGAGUGCAGAAGAGGAAAGUGGAAUUCCAUGUGUAGCGGUGAAAUGCGCAGAGAUAUGGAGGAACACCAGUGGCGAAGGCGACUUUCUGGUCUGUAACUGACGCUGAUGUGCGAAAGCGUGGGGAUCAAACAGGAUUAGAUACCCUGGUAGUCCACGCCGUAACGAUGAGUGCUAAGUGUUAGGGGGUUUCCGCCCCUUAGUGCUGCAGCUAACGCAUUAAGCACUCCGCCUGGGGAGUACGACCGCAAGGUUGAAACUCAAAGGAAUUGACGGGGACCCGCACAAGCGGUGGAGCAUGUGGUUUAAUUCGAAGCAACGCGAAGAACCUUACCAAAUCUUGACAUCCUUUGACAACUCUAGAGAUAGAGCUUUCCCCUUCGGGGGACAAAGUGACAGGUGGUGCAUGGUUGUCGUCAGCUCGUGUCGUGAGAUGUUGGGUUAAGUCCCGCAACGAGCGCAACCCUUAAGCUUAGUUGCCAUCAUUAAGUUGGGCACUCUAAGUUGACUGCCGGUGACAAACCGGAGGAAGGUGGGGAUGACGUCAAAUCAUCAUGCCCCUUAUGAUUUGGGCUACACACGUGCUACAAUGGACAAUACAAAGGGCAGCGAAACCGCGAGGUCAAGCAAAUCCCAUAAAGUUGUUCUCAGUUCGGAUUGUAGUCUGCAACUCGACUACAUGAAGCUGGAAUCGCUAGUAAUCGUAGAUCAGCAUGCUACGGUGAAUACGUUCCCGGGUCU
rnacentral:rRNA from 1 species